GGGGCACUUCCGGUCAUGGGGCAUCACUACGGAGUUCUGAGUGCAGAUAGUGGGACUGCCGCGACGACCCUCCAUGUGCGUGGAGGAUGCUCGUGGCUACUCAUGACCACGGCCUAGGUCCUCGGCGGUGCGUGUCAGGACGUGUCCGGAGCCCGUCCCCCUGGUCACAGGUCUCUUCGUGGAGCUCACGGUGUGGAGAAGGGUGCUGACCCCUUGAGGAUAUCCAGGCAGCGGCGCGUGUCUGACCCUGACAUGGGCAAGGGUGUGACCAGGAGGUUGAUCCCUCUUUGAUCACCCACAGCUCACCCAUACUGCCUUCUGGCAUCGCUUUUGUGUGAAGGGUGCUGACAAAGGUGCGGCAAGCAGGGGGUCAGCCUGUUGGAGCCAUGAGGGGUUCCUGUCGGCUAUA